CCUACUCUGCUCUUGCUUGACAUGGUAAACAGUACUGCGAAGCAUUAUCUCAAUUAUUUAAUCAGUUUUAUGGGCCCUUCCUUAAGCAUAAUUACUUUUCCAUACUUUUAUUCAAAUAUUAUAUUAAAUUGAAAAAACUUUUUAUCUAUCUUUGUUGUAUACAUGUAUUUUUGUUAAAAUAAUGUACUUGAUGGCUAUCUAUUUUCAUAUCUUUUUUCUAAGUAUUUUAUACUUAUUAAAAAAAUUUAU
rnacentral:lncRNA from 1 species